GACGGAGGGUGCUAGCGUUGUUCGGAUUUACUGGGCGUAAAGGGCGCGUAGGCGGCCUGGUCAGUCGGGUGUGAAAGCCCGGGGCUCAACCCCGGAACGGCACCCGAGACGGCCAGGCUGGAGACCGGGAGAGGAGGGUGGAAUAGCCAGUGUAGAGGUGAAAUUCAUAGAUAUUGGCUGGAACACCGGUGGCGAAAGCGGCUCUCUGGCCCGGUUCUGACGCUGAGGCGCGAAAGCGUGGGGAGCAAACAGG
rnacentral:rRNA from 1 species